AUGAGACUGCUGGGUCUUCUCCUGUGCCUGCUGACAGCCCCCCACGGUGUCCUGUCCCAGGUGCAGCUGCAGGAGUCGGGCCCAGGACUGGUGAAGCCCUCGCAGACCCUCUCCCUCACCUGCACUGUCUCUGGUUACUCCAUUACCAGUGGCUGCUGGAACUGGAUUCGCCAACCCCCGGGGAAGGGGCUGGAGUGGAUGGGGCGCAUAUGUAGUAGUGGGGACACUUACUUCAGCCCCUCCCUCAAGAGCCGAACCUCCAUCUCCAGAGACACGUCCAAGAACCAGUUCUCCCUGCAGCUGAGCUCCGUGAACACCGAAGACACGGCCGUGUAUUACUGUUGGAGAGACACAGUGAGGGGAAGUCAGGCCUCUGGAUUCACCUUCAGUAGCUACUGGAUGAGCUGGGUCCGCCAGGCUCCAGGGAAGGGGCUGGAGUGGGUCGCAUACAUUAGUGGUCCUAGUGGUAGUACCAUAUCCUAUGCUGAGUCUGUGAAGGGCCGCUUCACCAUCUCUAGAGACAACGCCAAGAACACGCUGUACCUGCAAAUGAGCAGCCUGAGAACCGAGGACACGGCCGUGUAUUACUGUGCAAGAGACACAACCCCACAGGAGGAGGGGCCUUCGUACUGA